GUCGUGGCCAUCAGUGAGAAACUGCCUGAUCAGUACCUUUGCACAGUGCCUGGCACAGAAAAGAAGCUCAGUGACAUAAAAUCGAACGCUGAGAAGCCUGUGAACUUGUCACAUCAGUGUGCAGCCUGGACAACUGACAGACCCAACACCAAAUGCUGUGGUUCCUUUUGCAAUCGUCUGUAAUUCUCCAACUCUGAGCAACAGGUUUGGAGGUCUCUCUGAACCCAGCUCCAGAGGAAACACUCGAUACACAAGUAUAACUUAAUUGGCGAUGUAGAUGCGGACAUUAAGGAAGGCUGGGUAGACAGGAAUUGUAUACAAAGAGCCUACAGCUACUAAUGUAUAAUCUUGUAACAAAACUGCACCAUCACCUCUGUCCAGGUAACACGCUGAGUCCCUUCAAGAAUGGCUCCCGGGAACCUGCUGAGAUACACCUGCAAAACCCACAACUCAGCAGAAUCCCUCCGGCUCUCAUCCUGUGGUUUUCAUGUUCCUUCUGGAGUUUCAAAAACUCACUGAUGUUUCAGGUGUGGAAGGAACCUUAGAGAUCAUCUCUACUGGUUUCACAGAGAAGGGGACUGAGACUGAGAGUGGUUAAGCGUGUUGCCCAGGGUCACAUAGAAAGGCAGCGUUGGAGUCAGAGCUCAGGAGUAGGUCUCAGUAAAAAAUAAAGCUGGGAAACCCCUGAGCGAUCAUCACUGUGUCCUAUCUAUUUAAGAGGUGGUAAAAUAAAGGAUC